rnacentral:rRNA from 1 species
ACACAUGCAAGUCGAACGAUGAAGAAAAGAAUUGAAGCUUCGGCAGAAAUUCAUUUCGGAUUAGUGGCAGACGGGUGAGUAACGCGUGAGCAACCUACCUCUUACAAAGGGAUAGCCUCGGGAAACCGGGAUUAAUACCAUAUAACAUUGCGACGAAGCAUUUCGAUGCAAUCAAAGCUACGGCGGUAAGAGAUGGGCUCGCGUCCCAUUAACCAGAUGGUGAGGUAACGGCUCACCAUAGUAACGAUGGGUAACCGGCCUGAGAGGGUGAACGGUCACACUGGAACUGAGACACGGUCCAGACUCCUACGGGAGGCAGCGGUGGGGAAUAUUGCACAAUGGAGGGAACUCUGAUGCAGCGACGCCGCGUGAGUGAUGAAGGAAUUCGUUUCGUAAAACUCUGUUCUAUGGGAAGAAAAGGACUGUACCAUAGGAGAAAGCUCCGGCUAAAUACGUGCCAGCAGCCGCGGUAAUACGUAUGGAGCGAGCGUUGUCCGGAAUUAUUGGGCGUAAAGGGUGCGCAGGCGGCUUUACAAGUUGGAUGUGAAAUAUUGUGGCUCAACCACAAACGUGCAUCCAAAACUGCAAAGCUUGAGUUAAGGAGAGGUAAGCGGAAUUCCUGGUGUAGCGGUGGAAUGCGUAGAUAUCAGGAGGAAUACCGGUGGCGAAGGCGACUUACUGGACUUAAACUGACGCUCAGGCACGAAAGCGUGGGGAGCAAACAGGAUUAGAUACCCUGGUAGUCCACGCCGUAAACGAUGAGUGCUAGGUGUUGGGGGUCAAACCUCGGUGCCGCAAGCAAACGCAAUAAGCACUCCGCCUGGGGAGUACGUGCACAAGCAUGAAACUCAA